rnacentral:rRNA from 1 species
AUUGAACGCUGGCGGCAUGUCUUACACAUGCAAGUCGAACGGCAGCAUAGGAGCUUGCUCCUGAUGGCGAGUGGCGAACGGGUGAGUAAUAUAUCGGAACGUGCCCUAGAGUGGGGGAUAACUAGUCGAAAGACUAGCUAAUACCGCAUACGAUCUACGGAUGAAAGUGGGGGAUCGCAAGACCUCAUGCUCCUGGAGCGGCCGAUAUCUGAUUAGCUAGUUGGUGGGGUAAAAGCUCACCAAGGCGACGAUCAGUAGCUGGGCUGAGAGGACAACCAGCCACACUGGGACUGAGACACGGCCCAGACUCCGACGGGAGGCAGCAGUGGGGAAUUUUGGACAAUGGGGGCAACCCUGAUCCAGCAAUGCCGCGUAAGUGAAGAAGGCCUUAGGGUUGUAAAGCUCUUUUGUCAGGGAAGAAACGGUUCUGGAUAAUACCUGGAGCUAAUGACGGUACCUGAAGAAUAAGCACCGGCUAACUACGUGCCAGCCGCCGCCGUAA